rnacentral:lncRNA from 1 species
UCGUGCGGCUUUGCGCCUUUCUUCACCUAGUUUCCUUUUCUUUUGAGCGAUCGGCCUGGCCUCUGUAUAAACAGACAAUCGAUGGGUAAUCACAUCUGAUUUUACUCCUGGCAUGUCUGCAGCCGUCCAGGCGAAAAGAUCAGCGUUCUUUGUUAAUGUUUUACCGAUCGUCUCUCGGUCGUCUGGUUUGAGGGAUGUUCCCAUGUAUGUUUUCCGGUCUUUGUCCCGAAGGAAUAUGGGUUGA